CCUACGGGCUGCAGCAGUGAGGAAUUUUUGUCAAUGGGCGCGAGCCUGAACCAGCCAAGUAGCGUGAAGGAUGGCUGCCCUACGGGUUGUAAACUUCUUUUAUAAAGGAAUAAAGUGAGGCACGUGUGCCUUUUUGUAUAUACUUUAUGAAUAAGGAUCGGCUAACUCCGUGCUAGCAGCCGCGGUAAGACGGAGGAUCCGACCGUUAUCCGGAUUGACUGGGUUUAAAGGUAGCGUAGAUGGGUUGUUAAGUUCUGUGUGAAAGUGUGCGGCGCAACCGUAAAAUGGAAAUUGAUACUGGCAGGCUUGAGUAAAGUUGAGGUAGGCGGAAUUCGUGGUGUAGCGGUGAAAUGCUUAGAUAUCACGAAGAACUCUGAUGGCGAAGGCAGCUUACUAAACUGCCACUGACAUUGAUGCUCGAAAGUGUGGGUAUCAAACAGGAUUAGAUACCCCGGUAGUC
rnacentral:rRNA from 1 species